UUUUAAUGAGAAUUAUUUUAAAAUUAAUUUUUUUAAAAAUAAGAUAUGGUCUAGUUUUUUUUAUAAAUCUCUUUAAUAUCAAUCAUAAUAUGGCAAUUUGACUGGAUGAUAAACAAUCUGUGCGAUCAUUUGGACAUUUAAUGGUGCCAUGGGGAUAAACAUUCAUGAGAGACCAAUUGACGACUACUAUUUGAGACCCCAUAAAACAAGCAUGGCUAUUCCUGCAAUUAUUAGAGACAAACGAUGCACUAAACUGAACCGGCUAGCCCAUUAGAGGGUUCGAUAUUAAAAUUAUAAAUAAAAAUAAAGGUCCGAAGACCCAUGGCCAUAUUUCCUUACUAUUAUUUCUUGCCAGAUUGAAUAUCACAAUUAUACUCUGAUAUAAAAA